UUAUUGACAACGGGGUGCCUAAUAAUGGCUGAGAUCAUACCCGAAAACCUGAUCUGGAUAAUGCCAGCGUAGGAAUUGUGAAUUGCUAUUUU
rnacentral:ncRNA from 2 species